AUACAUAGGGGGCAAGCGUUAUCCGGAAUUAUUGGGCGUAAAGCGUGCGUAGGCGGUUUAUUAAGUCUGAUGUUAAAUCCCACAGCUCAACUGUGGGCUGCCGUUGGAAACUGGUAGACUUGAGUGCGGUAGAGGUAAGUGGAAUUCCAAGUGGAGCGGUGGAAUGCGUAGAUAUUUGGAAGAAUACCAGUGGCGAGGGCGGCUUACAGGGCGGUUACAGACGCUGAGGCACGAAAGCGGGGGGAGCAAACAGGAUGAGAUCCCCGGGUAGUCCACGCCGUAAACGAUUAGCACUCAGUGUCGGAUGAAUUUUCGGCGCUGCAGUUAACACGAUAAGUGCUCCGCCUGGGGAGUACGGUCGCAAGACUGAAACUUAAAGGAAUUGACGGGG
rnacentral:rRNA from 1 species